UACGGGGGGGGGCAAGCGUUGUUCGGAAUUACUGGGCGUAAAGGGUGUGUAGGCGGCCAACUAAGUCCGACGUGAAAUCCCCAGGCUUAACCUGGGAACUGCGUCGGAUACUGGAUGGCUUGAAUCCGGGAGAGGGAUGCGGAAUUCCAGGUGUAGCGGUGAAAUGCGUAGAUAUCUGGAGGAACACCGGUGGCGAAGGCGGCAUCCUGGACCGGCAUUGACGCUAAAGCGCGAAAGCCAGGGGAGCAAACGGG
rnacentral:rRNA from 1 species